rnacentral:rRNA from 13 species
CCUUUGCGAGCAUCGAUUGCAGGGCACGUCUGGUGCCAGCCGCCGAGGUCAUUCCAGCGCCAAUAGCGU